rnacentral:rRNA from 1 species
UACGGAGGGAGCUAGCGUUGUUCGGAAUUACUGGGCGUAAAGCGUGCGCAGGCGGUUUUGUAAGUCAGAUGUGAAAUCCCCGGGCUUAACCUGGGAACUGCGUUUGAAAACUACAAGGCUAGAGUGUGGCAGAGGGGGGGUGGAAUUCCACGUGUAGCAGUGAAAUGCGUAGAGAUGUGGAGGAACACCGAUGGCGAAGGCAGCCCCCUGGGUUAACACUGACGCUCAGGCACGAAAGCGUGGGGAGCAAACAGG